rnacentral:tRNA from 1 species
GGUCAUGGCUCAGUGGUAGAGCGCUCGCCUAGCACGUGUGAGGCCCUGGGUUCGAUCCCCAGAAUCA